rnacentral:misc_RNA from 1 species
UACGGUGAUCCUAGAAACCAACGAAAUAGAAUCAGUCCGUCCUAUUUCAUUAUUCCAUGCUAAUGUAUUCAGACGUUAGCCUGCUUUAAACACUCUAAUUUUUUCAAAGUAACAGUCCUGAUUUCCAAUCACACCAAAUUAAUGACAUGAAAGUUCCUCAGAAGGUAGAGAUUUAUCUCACCAGUACAGACAAUUAAGCCUGACCA